rnacentral:rRNA from 1 species
UACGUAGGUGGCAAGCGUUGUCCGGAAUUAUUGGGCGUAAAGCGCGCGCAGGCGGUUCUUUAAGUCUGAUGUGAAAGCCCGUGGCUCAACCACGGAGGGUCAUUGGAAACUGGGGAACUUGAGUGCAGAAGAGGAGAGCGGAAUUCCACGUGUAGCGGUGAAAUGCGUAGAGAUGUGGAGGAACACCAGUGGCGAAGGCGGCUCUCUGGUCUGUAACUGACGCUGAGGCGCGAAAGCGUGGGGAGCAAACAGG